AGUGAACGCUGGCGGUAGGCCUAACACAUGCAAGUCGAACGGCAGCACAGUAAGAGCUUGCUCUUACGGGUGGCGAGUGGCGGACGGGUGAGGAAUACAUCGGAAUCUACUUUUUCGUGGGGGAUAACGUAGGGAAACUUACGCUAAUACCGCAUACGACCUACGGGUGAAAGCAGGGGAUCUUCGGACCUUGCGCGAUUGAAUGAGCCGAUGUCGGAUUAGCUAGUUGGCGGGGUAAAGGCCCACCAAGGCGACGAUCCGUAGCUGGUCUGAGAGGAUGAUCAGCCACACUGGAACUGAGACACGGUCCAGACUCCUACGGGAGGCAGCAGUGGGGAAUAUUGGACAGUGGGCGCAAGCCUGAUCCAGCCAUACCGCGUGGGUGAAGAAGGCCUUCGGGUUGUAAAGCCCUUUUGUUGGGAAAGAAAAGCAGCAGGUUAAUACCCCGCUGUUCGGACGGUACCCAAAGAAUAAGCACCGGCUAACUUCGU
rnacentral:rRNA from 1 species